rnacentral:ncRNA from 1 species
UGAGCAGCGAAGAACAAGAGAAGUAAGCUUCAAGCGAGGCACAGAGAGUCGGGGAUGGGUGUGAGCCCGAUGCCGGCGCAGAAGUUGAAUGGCCUUGGGAGCUUCAAACCGAAAGCGACUGCUGUGUAGGCUUUGACGGAGGGGCACCGUUAUCAGAGCUCAGGGUAUGGGAAAGCCCAUGGUGGCUGACCCGUACCCCAAAAGAGAUGGCCUGCCACAGGCUGGCCAAAUAGGGUGGUACCGCGGACUAAGCCCUUCGCCCCUAUG